rnacentral:rRNA from 1 species
UACGGAGGAUCCGAGCGUUAUCCGGAUUUAUUGGGUUUAAAGGGUGCGUAGGCGGUUUGAUAAGUUAGAGGUGAAAUGUCGGGGCUCAACCCCGAAGCUGCCUCUAAUACUGUUGGACUAGAGAAUAGUUGCGGUAGGCGGAAUGUAUGGUGUAGCGGUGAAAUGCUUAGAGAUCAUACAGAACACCGAUUGCGAAGGCAGCUUACCAAACUAUAUCUGACGUUGAGGCACGAAAGCGUGGGUAGCAAACAGG